AGCAGCCGCGGUAAUUCCAGCUCCAAUAGCGUAUAUUAAAGUUGUUGCAGUUAAAAAGCUCGUAGUUGAAUUUCGGGAUCAAGGUGCCGGUCAUGCCUUUGGUAUGUACUGACAUCAUUGAUUUCUCCUUUCUGAUGAACUGUGAUGUCAUUAAUUUGGUGUCAUGGAGAAUCAGGACUGUUACUUUGAAAAAUUGAGUGUUUAAAGCAAGCACACGCUUGAAUACAUUAGCAUGGAAUAAUGAAAUAGGACGUUUGAUCCUAUUUUGUUGGUUUCUAGGAUCGACGUAAUGAUUAAUAGGGAUAGUUGGGGGCAUUAGUAUUCAAUUGUCAGAGGUGAAAUUCUUGGAUUUAUUGAAGACUAACUACUGACGAAAGCAUUUGCCAAG
rnacentral:rRNA from 1 species